UGGGGCUUUUAUAAAUUGCUGGAUGGUAGAGGAGCGGUUUUUUCUCAUGGUGGUAGAAUUCAGUUGCAGUUACAGCCUGUCGCCACUAGAUGGGGGUCGAGAGCAGCGUGUUAGCUCUCCGCCUUUGGGGCAAGAUGGCUGCGCCCACUGGCUUCGCUGGGGGGGAGGGACUGUUACUCACACGCGCCAGUCUGGGUUCAGAUCAGUUCUGUUCUCUGGUCUCCCAAGGCCCUUAAUUUAUGGGGUCCCCGCAGAUGGAAGUUAUCCCCCCGUCAGCGGGUCUCCACUGAAUCAGCAGCAGGAGUCCUGGAUGAUCCCCCGGUCGCACGGCCCCUCCCCCGCUCCUUCCUGACGCGCGCGCCGCAGCAAUCUCAGACUCUAAGGGAGGGAGCGAUGUUCUCUCCUACCGUUCCAGUGCCUCCAAAGGUAGACACCAGCAACCUGGAGCAGAGCAGAGGGACAGCACAAAGAUGGUGCCCCCUAGCCUCUCUGAUUUCUGGACAAGAUUGCAGUCAGCCCUUAAAUGUGUGUAAAAUUACAAGCCCUGCCCCUCAGGCCCCAGAUUUUAAGGUGGGAUCCAAAGAAACCCCCUCCCCCAGGACUCUGAAGGUGGUGAGCAACCAGGUGCUGGCGUCCCCAGAGCCCCUUGAGCUUGCUGCUUUCUCACUGGGCCUGGAGUUUGGUAAGUCUGGAGACACCUGGAGAAGGUGUUCCUGCAAAAAUGCUUCAUCUUCAAAGAGAUUCAUGGGAAAGAUCCUGACAAGUACUUUAAAAUGCGGGUUUCUGAUACUUUUAAGAUAGUGACACCGAACUGGAAAAAACAUCACAACAGAUUAUGAAUGGGCAAGCUUCAUACCUGAUGCUGUAUGGGCCACUCAAGAAAGUUCAACAAAACACCUGAUGACAGCAUCAAAGACAGUCAAACUGCAAACCAGGAAAGUCCAUCAGACUAAAACUGCCAUCCUCAUUGCACCAUCUGAAGAUGCUUCCAACCCAAAUCUAGAAAUGGUCUCAACUGGCUGCUCUCCAAACUCAAAAAAUGAAUUUAUAAUUUGCUCCAACUAUUAACCUUUGUUUUUUCUCUUGUGUCCACAGAAGUGCCUUUAAUUAAAUUACCUG
rnacentral:lncRNA from 1 species